AACUUGAUGUCAACAUGGGUCAACUCAAUUCGAAUCUUGCUUGGGUCGACACAAUCGACUUAGGUUGAUAGAACUCGAUUAGUGCUCGGGCCUAGUUGACUUGACAUGUGUCUGAGCCAAUUCUAACUAUAGUUGGUUCGGGUUGAUUUGACUUGACCUAUGCCCGAGCUGACUGUGCUUGACAUAGACUUGGACUAACUUUAAUCAACUUUGGCCCGAGCCGUCUUGGCUCGACUUAGGGUUGGUUCGACAUUACUUGACUUAGGUAUGGCCAAUGCCUACUUGGCUUGACCUGGGCUCGAGCUAAAUUGAUUCACUGGACUUGACCUAUUC
rnacentral:lncRNA from 1 species